CUAAGCGGAGGAGAAGAAACUAACAAGGAUUUCCUUAGUAACGGCGAGCGAACCGGAAGUAGCCCAGCUUGAAAAUCUCGCGGUUUCGCCGCGCGAAUUGUAGUCUGGAGAAGCGUCCUCUGCAGCGGACCGGGCCCAAGUUCCCUGGAACGGGACGUCGGAGAGGGUGAGAGCCCCGUCGAGCUCGGACCCUGCUGCUCCACGAGGCGCUGUCGACGAGUCGGGCUGUUUGGGAAUGCAGCCCUAAGCGGGUGGUAAAUUCCAUCCAAGGCUAAAUAUGGGCAAGAGACCGAUAGCGAACAAGUACCGCGAGGGAAAGAUGAAAAGGACUUUGAAAAGAGAGUUAAAGAGUGCUUGAAAUUGCUGGGAGGGAAGCGAAUGGAGGCUGCGGGUGUGCCGCGGUUGGAUGCGGAACGGCGAAAGCUGGUCCGCCGCUCAACGCGCGGUGCUGGUCAGCGUGGGCUGUCCCGGCGGGACAAAAGCCGACUUAUGUUGUCGGCCCAUGCCGUCGGGACGGUCGAGGAACGAAGCGCGCGCCUUCUUGGGCGGCUCCCUUGGGAGACCUGUCGCGCUCGGGACGCUGGCGUAUGGAGCCUUCCAUCCGGCCCGUCUUGAAACACGGACCAAGGAGUCUAACAUGUAUGCGAGCCGGUGGGCGGCAAACCCACAGAGGCGCAAGUAACCUGACAGGUGGGAUCCCCCUAAAAAGGGUGCACCAUCGACCGACCGUGAUCUUCUGUGAAAGGUUCGAGUGCGAGCAUACCUGCUGGGACCCGAAAGAUGGUGAACUAUGCCUGAGCAGGGCGAAGCCAGAGGAAACUCUGGUGGAGGCUCGUAGCGAUACUGACGUGCAAAUCGUUCGUCAGGCUUGGGUAUAGGGGCGAAAGACUAAUCGAACCAUCUAGUAGCUGGUUCCCUCCGAAGUUUCCCUCAGGAUAGCUGGAGCUCGUGUAGUUUUAUCAGGUAAAGCGAAUGAUUAGAGGCAUCGGGGGUGAAACACCCUCGACCUAUUCUCAAACUUUAAAUAGGUAAGCUGCCGGGGUUGCUCGAUUGAACCCCGGCGAUGAAUGAGAGCUCCAAGUGGGCCAU
rnacentral:rRNA from 1 species